rnacentral:rRNA from 1 species
CCUACGGGGAGCAGCAGUGGGGAAUAUUGGACAAUGGGCGAAAGCCUGAUCCAGCCAUGCCGCGUGUGUGAAGAAGGCCUUCGGGUUGUAAAGCACUUUCAGUGGGGAAGAAAGCCUUGGGGCUAAUACCCUCGAGGAAGGACAUCACCCACAGAAGAAGCACCGGCUAACUCCGUGCCAGCAGCCGCGGUAAUACGGAGGGUGCGAGCGUUAAUCGGAAUUACUGGGCGUAAAGCGCGCGUAGGCGGUCUGAUAAGCCGGUUGGGAAAGCCCCGGGCUCAACCUGGGAACGGCAUCCGGAACUGUCAGGCUAGAGUGCAGGAGAGGAAGGUAGAAUUCCCGGUGUAGCGGUGAAAUGCGUAGAGAUCGGGAGGAAUACCAGUGGCGAAGGCGGCCUUCUGGACUGACACUGACGCUGAGGUGCGAAAGCGUGGGUAGCAAACAGGAUUAGAUACCCGAGUAGUC